rnacentral:rRNA from 1 species
GAUGAACGCUGGCGGCGUGCCUAAUACAUGCAAGUCGAGCGAACAGAUAAGGAGCUUGCUCCUUUGACGUUAGCGGCGGACGGGUGAGUAACACGUGGGUAACCUACCUAUAAGACUGGGAUAACUUCGGGAAACCGGAGCUAAUACCGGAUAACAUUUGGAACCGCAUGGUUCUAAAGUGAAAGAUGGUUUUGCUAUCACUUAUAGAUGGACCCGCGCCGUAUUAGCUAGUUGGUAAGGUAACGGCUUACCAAGGCGACGAUACGUAGCCGACCUGAGAGGGUGAUCGGCCACACUGGAACUGAGACACGGUCCAGACUCCUACGGGAGGCAGCAGUAGGGAAUCUUCCGCAAUGGGCGAAAGCCUGACGGAGCAACGCCGCGUGAGUGAUGAAGGGUUUCGGCUCGUAAAACUCUGUUAUUAGGGAAGAACAAAAGUGUAAGUAACUGUGCACGUCUUGACGGUGCCUAAUCAGAAAGCCACGGCUAACUACGUG